rnacentral:rRNA from 1 species
CCUACGGGAGGCAGCAGUGGGGAAUCUUGCGCAAUGGGGGAAACCCCUGACGCAGCGACGCCGCGUGGAGGAUGAAGGUCUUCGGGUUGUAAACUCCUUUUCUUGGGGAAAAUGAUGAUGGUACUCAAGGAGUAAGCCACGGCCAACUCUGUGCCAGCAGCCGCGGUAAGACAGAGGUGGCGAGCGUUGUUCGGAAUCACUGGGCUUAAAGGGCGCGUAGGUGGUAGGGUAAGUCCAGGGUGGAAUCCUAUGGCUUAACCAUAGAAUUGCCUUGGAGACUGCUUUACUUGAGUCAGUAAGGGGAGGGCAGAAUUCCUGGUGUAGCGGUGAAAUGCGUAGAUAUCAGGAGGAAGGCCGGUGGCGAAGGCGGCCCUCUGGUACUGGACUGACGCUGAGGCGCGAAAGCGUGGGGAGCGAACAGGAUUAGAUACCCUGGUAGUCCACGCCCUAAACGGUGGGCACUAGGUGUAGGGCUCGUAAGGGUUCUGUGCCGAAGGGAAACCAUUAAGUGCCCCGCCUGGGGAGUACGGCCGCAAGGUUGAAACUUAAAGGAAUUGACGG